UGUGGGAGCUGGCUUGCCUGCGAUAGCGGUGUGUCAGCGCCUGAUAUGUGUCUGAUACACCGCUAUCGCAGGCAAGCCAGCUCCCACA
rnacentral:misc_RNA from 1 species